ACCAAAACUAGCCCUAGCACAAACUUAACUCAACUAAUUAACCCAAUAAAACAAAACAUUUGACAUAGCUAGUAUCGGAGAAAGAACACCAGACUAGGCGCUAUAGAGAUAGUACCGUAAGGGAAAGGUGAAAGAACAUUUAAAAGUAAGAAAAAGCAAAGAUUAAACCUUGUACCUUUCGCAUAAUGGGUUAACUAGAAAUACCCUAACCAAGAGGCCUUAGCUAGACACCCCGAAACCAAACGAGCUACCUAAGAGCAGUUGAAAGAACGAACCCGUCUAUGUGGCAAAAUAGUGGGAUGACUCCUAGGUAGAGGUGAUACGCCUACCGAGCUUGGUGAUAGCUGGUUGCCCAAUAAAGAAUUUUAGUUCGACUUUAAGAUUGCCAUAGGAAAUUUUAAUCAAAAUGUAAUCUUAAAAUUUAGCCUAAAGGGGGGCAGCUCUUUAGGAAUGGAAACAACCUUUAGUAGUGAAUAAACAUAGUUCCCUAGAACAUUGUCGGCUUGGAAGCAGCCACCAAAUAAAGAAAGCGUUAAAGCUCAAAUUCACAAAAAUCUUAAUUCCACAAAUCCUAAUGACUUCCUACAAACAAUAAUUGGGCCAAUCUAUAAUUAUAUAGAUGGGAUACUGUUAACAUGAGUAACAAGAACAUAGUUCUCCUAGCACAAGCCUAUAACAACCCGGAUAACCAUUGUUAGUUAACAACCAAAGGUGAAUAACCUAUUGAUAGACUACACCUUACUAAAAUUGUUAAUCCGACACAGGAGUGCAUUAAGGAAAGAUUAAAAGAAGUAAAAGGAACUCGGCAAACACGAAUCCCGCCUGUUUACCAAAAACAUCACCUCUAGCAUAAAAAGUAUUAGAGGCACCGCCUGCCCAGUGACAAACGUUUAACGGCCGCGGUAUCCUGACCGUGCGAAGGUAGCAUAAUCACUUGUUCUUUAAUUGAGGACUGGAAUGAAUGGCUUCACGAGGAUUCAACUGUCUCUUACUUCCAAUCAGUGAAAUUGACCUUCCCGUGAAGAGGCGGGAAUACUACAAUAAGACGAGAAGACCCUAUGGAGCUUUAAUUCAACGGCUUAACUUUUUAAAUUGUAACCCUAACAGGCCCAACAAAUAAGCCACUAAGCCAAGAAUUUUGGUUGGGGUGACCUCGGAGCAUAAAAAACCCUCCGAAUGGCUUUAACCGAGACACACAAGUCGAAGUUCUAAAACCUAAUUGACCCAAUUACCUUGAUCAACGGACCAAGUUACCCUAGGGAUAACAGCGCAAUCCUAUUCUAGAGUCCCUAUCGACAAUUAGGGUUUACGACCUCGAUGUUGGAUCAGGACAUCCCAAUGGUGCAGAAGCUAUUAAAGGUUCGUUUGUUCAACGAUUAAUAGUCCUACGUGAUCUGAGUUCAGACCGGAGCAAUCCAGGUCGGUUUCUAUCUAUUAACUAUUUCUCCCAGUACGAAAGGACCAGAGAAAUGGAGCCUCCUUAACAGAAGUGCUCUAAAACUAAUUUAUGAAGUUAUCUUAAUUUAGUAAGUUUGUAAAACAAGACCCUAGACAAGGGCUA
rnacentral:rRNA from 1 species